ensembl:lncRNA
AUUAAAAUGAGCUUUUAACAAGGUUGUUCUUCCCUCCGACACACUUUUCAUCUGAGUCGUGGGGUUGCAUUGACUUUGUUGAAUCUUUCUCAUCAACACAGCAGCACACCACUGAGAGCACAAACACAUCCAGACCUCUGGAACAGUCUCAAAUGCUUUCUUUUCUUUUUUCUUCACAACACAAUGAACAGACCCGAGACUGCCUCUCUCCACUGUAGAUCCAUUUCUUCCGACAAGAUCGCCUUUAACAACACCUUUGUGACAAGAAGAACGUAUUGAAAUCAUUCUCAUGGCUGGAUGGGAAAGCUGUCGCAAGGUUGCAAUGGACUAUAACAGGAAACAUGGCGAGCACAACACAACACAACAUGACACUGGUUUAUUUGUUAACUUAUUAGCAAAUUCAAAAAGACUGGAAGUGUCGCAGACCGACCGAGAAGAACAUCCCACAAGACGUCCACGAACGCCGUGUUCUUAGACUCCAGGACCAGGAAUGAGUUUCACUGCUGUGUUGUGUAUUUCCCAGUAACAUGACAGAGGAGGUUACCAGCAAAUAAAGUAUCCAACAAAACUGUCAAUAAACACACACACACACACACACACACACACACACACACAAACAAACAAACAAACAAAAAAAACCCAAAAACCCAAACAAGAACAGUCAGGGGGUAGUUCACAAAGCAAAGAAACCAUUUUGUUAAACUGUACAUGAAAUGGCUUUGUGUUUACAACUGUGUUCAUUCUUUUACAUAAACUCCCAUAUUGUUUUCUGAAGGAAUAUAUAUAUAUAUAUACAUUAUGGUAUAUGGUAAAUGGUCUGCACUUAUAUAACGCUUUUUUAACCUUAGCGGUACUACAAAGCGCUUUGCACUGGUUCUCAUUCACACACACACACACACACAUCAAUGGUAGCAGAGCUGCCAUGCAAGAUGCUAACUUGCCUUCGGGAGCAACUUGGACAGUGGACACUUCAGCAUGUGGAGUCAUAUGGAGUCAUAUAUGAACCGUCAACCCUACGAUUAGUGGACAACCCGCUCUACCACCUGAGCCACAGCCGGCCCAGUAUUAUUGCAGUAGGCAAACAAUUUGCAUGCAAGACCAACUUUAUUUAAAUAUAUAGAGUGUCUAACACAAGACUUUAGUUUUAUAUGUGUCCUUUCUAUUUAUAUUCAUAUGGUAGCUCAGCGUUUAAGACGUGGGACUUAUGAUAGGAAGGUUAUGAGUUCGAAUCCCAGCACUGACAAGCUGUCACUAUUGGGCCCUUGAGCAAGGCCCUUAACCCUCAACUGCUCAGAUGUAUAAAUGAGAUAACUGUAAGUUGCUUUUGAUAAGUGCGUCUGCCAAAUGCUGUAAUGAAAUGUAAUAUAAUUCAGGUGAAAAACUGAAUAAGUACUGUGUGUAAGUGCUAAUAUAAAUCAAGCAGCCUUAAGCUUCAGAUCCUUGUCUUGUCAGACACAUGCGCACACACGUAUAUGUAUACUGAGGUCCUGAAGUCUGAGCCCAGGCCCCCUGUACUGUAGGAUAAGUGGUCUAGAA